CAAACAAACUCAAGUCAAGCACUGGAUUGAAGUGAAACACUGGAUUCAUACUAUACUGGUUUGUAGAUAGAGUCCAAGACAGACACGGAGGCCUCACCAUGAUAGUUCAAGGCUGGGCUUGGGGUGUUUUUUAUUUAGCGAUAUUUGUUGGAUUUCAUCAUGUCCAGGUCGUGGCACAGGAAGAUAACUGGUGUGCCACAGAGGGAGUUUUGGAAGGAAGAUUGCCACAGAUUGAUUACACAGACAGUGAUACAACUGGAACUAGUUUGACAGUACAACAGAAGACAGAUUUAGAGGUUUUGUUUAGUUCAAAUGGUCCAGUGGUUACAGUAUGGUCACAAUAUCUUGAUAAUACACAACUUUGCACACCAUCUGAAAUUGCAAACACUUACAGCUUGUGUCAAGACAGAGCAGCUGCCUUUGAAGCUCUUGAAACACAUGAAAACAAAGUGAAGGCUGAUAUAAGUAUAAUCCAAAAUAUGAUCAACACUUUGGUAGCUCCGGGAGAUACCACUCUAAGGACAAAGCUAGAAGUGACUUUGGCUUUAUUGCAGGACAUACUGGCGCUGAUUGAACGCCAGGAACCACAUUUCCUUACAGGCUUCGACUGUGUUUCUGAUGAACAGUGUACAGAGGGUAGAAGGAAUAUCUGCGCUGGAUGUACCUGCGUCGAAUGUGAAACAAAUGCUGACUGUUCUGCUAAAGACCUACAGAAACCAUUCUGUAAACCCAGCAGUGGAAUGCAGGUCUGUGGGGACCCACAUAUCAAACAAAGCAUACGAGGAGCGAACCAGAAGUUAUGCUAUGACAUAGUGGGUGCUGCAGGGAAGUUGUAUGAGUUCCUGGAUGACAAUGGAAUGGAAAUCAUAGCAAAAUUCAUCAGCGGGGGAAAUUCAAGUGAUACAAGUCUUGUAGACUAUGUCAGUGACAUCUAUAUCAAGAUGGAACAUGUUCAAAUCCACUUCGAAUCAAGACUCAUCAGUGUUCAUGAAGUGGGGAAGCCUGUAGAAAAGUUCAGAUGGGCAACUGGUAGGAUAACAACAAGUAUUGGAUGGAUCGAUGUCUCCAAGAAGCAAGUAAAGGUUUAUUUGAUGGACGGAGCAACAACUGUUCACGUUAUACGUAAAGGAUUAUCACGAAAGGUUCCAUUCCUGAACUUUGGAGUUGUUGAGCAACAUGGACUUUCAUAUAAAGCUACUGGCAUCAUGGGUUCUCUGGGGAAUGAAGCAGAGUUUGUAUCUGAGGAAGGGAAGCAAAUGUUAUCAUGGUCUGGCCAUAGAUUCCCUGUAGGGGGCGGUGAAAACAUAUGCCUAAAAGUGGAUCCUUUCUAUGAAGACAAAUUCAACAAAUUGCUGGAGAGAUUUCAGAUUGAUGACAUUAAAAUAGAUGAAGAAGUUGAUGAUGUUAAUAGUACCUACUGACCUAUAGACCAUAUAUAAAUAAUUAGACUAACACAAUGGGACAUUGGUAUCUUAUUAAUGAGGUGGUCUAAUAAGCUAAAACAAUUGAAUUACAAACUGUAAAUGGAGAAUGAGGUAAAAGAGAAUAAAAUGUUGAUGUAAAAUAUUAUUAUUAUUAUCCAUGAAUACACUGACUUAACAGACAUUACUAAUGUUCAACAAAAUUAAUGAAAUAAUAUUAAUGUGACUAAAUAAAGUACAUUUACUGAUCAAUAGUUUGUAUUACUGGAGAUGGCUUAUACCUCAAAUACCCAUCUUUUGAAUAUUGCAAGUAUUGAUCUGAAUGUGCCUAAAGAGCAUUUAAUGACAAAAGAGACCUUAAUGCAACUAAAUCCACUUAAUAGGUGAUAUGUUCAGAUCAGUAGCUAACUUUGAAAUUGUUUUGUCAAAGUGGUGGUACAUAAGGCAAUCCCAAACAUGAAGUUAUGCUGCACAUGUGAAGCACAUACUUGUUGACAUUAAAUAUUGAAAAUAGUUCA
rnacentral:misc_RNA from 1 species